rnacentral:rRNA from 1 species
GACGAACGCUGGCGGCGUGCUUAACACAUGCAAGUCGAACGGAAAGGCCCUGCUUUUGUGGGGUGCUCGAGUGGCGAACGGGUGAGUAACACGUGAGUAACCUGCCCUUGACUUUGGGAUAACUUCAGGAAACUGGGGCUAAUACCGGAUAGGAGCUCCUGCUGCAUGGUGGGGGUUGGAAAGUUUCGGCGGUUGGGGAUGGACUCGCGGCUUAUCAGCUUGUUGGUGGGGUAGUGGCUUACCAAGGCUUUGACGGGUAGCCGGCCUGAGAGGGUGACCGGCAGCAGCGGGAGUGAGUUCCAGGCGGGAGGCAGCAGGGAGGGAGGAGUGGGGGAGGGGGAGGAAGGGGUGGGAGGUUGAUGCAGCACCGCCGCGUGAGGGAGGAGGGGGUUCGGGGUGUAACACGGUUUCGCCUGUGAAGAAGCGUGAAUGACGGUAAUGGGUAAAGAAGCAAGCGCUAACUACGUG